rnacentral:rRNA from 1 species
ACACUCCUACGGGAGGCAGCAGUGGGGAAUAUUGGACAAUGGGCGCAAGCCUGAUCCAGCCAUGCCGCGUGAGUGAUGAAGGCCCUAGGGUUGUAAAGCUCUUUCACCGGUGAAGAUAAUGACGGUAACCGGAGAAGAAGCCCCGGCUAACUUCGUGCCAGCAGCCGCGGUAAUACGAAGGGGGCUAGCGUUGUUCGGAUUUACUGGGCGUAAAGCGCACGUAGGCGGACUAUUAAGUCAGGGGUGAAAUCCCGGGGCUCAACCCCGGAACUGCCUUUGAUACUGGUAGGCUUGAGUUCGAGAGAGGUGAGUGGAAUUCCGAGUGUAGAGGUGAGAUUCGUAGAUAUUCGGAGGAACACCAGUGGCGAAGGCGGCUCACUGGCUCGAUACUGACGCUGAGGUGCGAAAGCGUGGGGAGCAAACAGGAUUAGAAACCCGUGUAGUCCCAUGAU